GGACUGACAGAUUACUGACGGCCCUAUAGGAAGGUGUUAAUGUUACAGCCCUAUAGGAAGGUGUUUCAUCCCUAUAGGAAGGUUGUUACAGCCCUACAGGAAGGUGUUACAGCCCUAUAGGAAGGUGUUACAGCCCUAUAGGAAGGUGUUACAGCCCUAUAGGAAGGGCGUUACAGCCCUAUAGGAAGGCGUUACAGCCCUACAGGAAAGUGUUACAGCCCUAUAGGAAAGUGUUACAGCCCUAAGGAAGGUGUUACAGUCCUAAAGGAAAGUGUUACAUCCCUACAGGAAGGUGUUACAGCCCUACAGGAAAGUGUUACAUCCCUAUGGUAUUACAACCCUAUAGAAAGGUGUUGCAGCCCUACAGGAACUUGCUACAAGUGUUCCCUUUUGGCUGUAGUUUUUCCCAUGAG
ensembl:lncRNA